rnacentral:rRNA from 1 species
AUUGAACGCUGGCGGCAUGCUUUACACAUGCAAGUCGGACGGCAGCACAGAGAAGCUUGCUUCUUGGGUGGCGAGUGGCGAACGGGUGAGUAAUAUAUCGGAACGUACCGAGUAAUGGGGGAUAACUAAUCGAAAGAUUAGCUAAUACCGCAUAUUCUCUGAGGAGGAAAGCAGGGGACCUUCGGGCCCUGCGUUAUUCGAGCGGCCGAUAUCUGAUUAGCUAGUUGGUGGGGUAAAGGCCUACCAAGGCGACGAUCAGUAGCGGGUCUGAGAGGAUGAUCCGCCACACUGGGACUGAGACACGGCCCAGACUCCUACGGGAGGCAGCAGUGGGGAAUUUUGGACAAUGGGCGCAAGCCUGAUCCAGCCAUGCCGCGUGUCUGAAGAAGGCCUUCGGGUUGUAAAGGACUUUUGUCAGGGAAGAAAAGGCUGUUGCUAAUACCGACAGCUGAUGACGGUACCUGAAGAAUAAGCACCGGCUAACUACGUGCCAGCAGCCGCGGUAAUACGUAGGGUGCGAGCGUUAAUCGGAAUUACUGGGCGUAAAGCGAGCGCAGACGGUUACUUAAGCAGGAUGUGAAAUCCCCGGGCUCAACCUGGGAACUGCGUUCUGAACUGGGUGACUAGAGUGUGUCAGAGGGAGGUAGAAUUCCACGUGUGGCAGUGAAAUGCGUAGAGAUGUGGAGGAAUACCGAUGGCGAAGGCAGCCUCCUGGGAUAACACUGACGUUCAUGCUCGAAAGCGUGGGUAGCAAACAGG